GUUUGGCGUUUCCAUACUCUACGCCUCGCAGCUGAUCCCAUUUGCCUGCCCCGCCUCCCGCUUCAACCAUCUCCUCUUCCUCCUCUUCGUGCUUCUUGUGGGUUUUACAUCCUUAUUAACGGCUAAUUUUCGGUGGGUUUAGGCGUCCGUAGUUCGUCUAAGGACUCGAUUAGGGCAUCAGAAACUCGAUUGCUUGACGAAACCCUUUCGUCGUGAGAAAAUUGAAGCUGAAAUCGCUCCCUCUGAUUACAAUCUCUUCUGGGGAGAUGGUCCGGCUGAGAGAGGUGUAUAUGGGUCAUCGAUGACGUGGUGCUGUAAGAUCUAAUGAUGUCCUACCACGGCGGGAGUUGCGUCGGCGAUGGUCAUCUGCGGAUGCAAUUCGAGCGGGAGCAGGACAUUGAGCUACACGAUGACACCAACGACCAUAGAUCUGAUGGUUCUUCCAGAAUUUCAAUCGAUGCAUGUCGGUGGGAAAGUGAACAGUCUGGGGCUCAUGGGCUAUGACUGUUUUGUUUCUGUUCUGUACUGAACUUGCUUGGUCAGAUGCCUUCGAUGUGGCAUCAACGCGAAUGCAACACCACAUAUGCGCCGUGGACCUGAUGGACCAAGGACCCUUUGUAAUGCAUGUGGCAUUUCUUGGACAAAGGAUUCAUCAGCGUCCAAUUUUCAUCAGCAUGCAUUCCAUGCUAUUCCUCAAUUAAAUCAGGGAUAUGCAGCUGCUGCAGAUAUGCACGCACAACCAUUUCUUGGAAGUUCCCAUUUGAAUAAUCAGACAAGUGAUCGAGGCCAUUGAGACAUUAUAUUCUUCAACAGCUCGGUCAUUAUGAAAUUAUGUAAAUCCAGGCAUCUGCAAACCCCCUAUCGAUAUCAACUGGCAUAUCCCUUGUACCACUAAGUCCCCUCUUAAACAUCUCAAUUUUUCACAUUAAUCAACUUAUGUUACUUCCAGAUGGAGAUGCAAAAGCAACUCCCUUUGGAAAUAUGUAAACCUCCUAAAUUAUGGUAGCUGUUCCUGUCAUGGCGGAGGCUAACAUGUUAGCUUGUGUUCAUUUUCUAUUGAAUAGUUAGCCUAGGCUCAAAAUCAUGUAUCAUAACUUGCUCUGUUUUGUCGGUAAUCUAGUUCAUAGAGUUGUAAAAUGUCGGGUUCAGUACAGUCGUAAUUUCCAGUA